GGAGGAGCUGCUGACCCUCUUGGUAAUUACUCAGUCUAACAGCUUAACUAACAUGCAAAUUCCUCUGUUGAAUGACAGGACAGGAAAGCUCUACUUCGCAUUCUCAGACCUCACAAAGCAAUACUGUGGUGAGAUAAUGCAGGCUACUGGCAACUGGAAAACCUCUUCUACGCCUUAGAAAAGUUAAUUUUUGACCUGUAACUGGAAAUUAAGAUAAUCUCUUCAGGAUCUGAAUCAUUUAAAGAUAAGUUUACAGAAAAGAUUCAAAUACAGCAAGGCUGUGAUUCUAUACACAGAAGCCUAAAGAAAGGAAAAUCCUACUGAACUCAAGCCUGGUUGAAAUGCAGAGGAUUAUGUUGUAAACUAUGACAAUGAACAGAUAGUACAAAAGUCUGUCUCUCUUUCAUGACAGGGCUGGAAUGAAAUAUAAUUUAAUGUUAUACAUGUGAAGACAGAACCUUUAUUUCCCAACAUAUUUAGUUGAGUCAACAUUUGUAUAGGUGCUAUAUGAUACAAUAUACUACAGAGGGAUUAUAAUCAUAUUGGCCAGAUGCCUGCUGUAAAGUUUUUGAAUAUUCAGUUAUAUAGGGCACUGUCCUUGCAAUCAGGAACUCUGAAAAAGCAGGAUUUUGAUGUGGUGAUUUUAAUUGUU